rnacentral:rRNA from 1 species
CAUCCAGUUGCCAUCGGGCGAGCCGGGCACUCUGGAGGGACUGCCGGCGACAAGCCGGAGGAAGGUGGGGAUGACGUCAAGUCAUCAUGGCCCUUAUGUCCAGGGCGACACACGUGCUACAAUGGCCGGCACAGCGGGAAGCGGACGGGGCGACCCUGAGCGGAUCCCUUGAAAAGCCGGUCCCAGUUCGGAUUGCAGUCUGCAACUCGACUGCAUGAAGUUGGAAUCGCUAGUAAUCGCGGAUCAGCCAAGCCGCGGUGAAUACGUUCCCGGGCCUU